AUAGCGUAUAUUAAAGUUGUUGCAGUUAAAAAGCUCGUAGUUGAACUUCAGACCUGGCCGGGCGGUCAGCUUAACGGCGUGUACUGUCCGGCUGGGCCUUACCUCUUGGUGAGCCGGUGUGCCCUUUAUUGGGUGCGUUGGGGAACCAGGACUUUUACCUUGAGAAAAUUAGAGUGUUCAAAGCAGGCCUAUGCCCGAAUACAUUAGCAUGGAAUAAUAAAAUAGGACGUGUGGUUCUAUUUUGUUGGUUUCUAGAGUCGCCGUAAUGAUUAAUAGGGAUAGUUGGGGGCAUUGGUAUUGAGUCGCUAGAGGUGAAAUUCUUGGAUUGACUCAAGACCAACUAUUG
rnacentral:rRNA from 1 species